AGUGAACGCUGGCGGUAGGCCUAACACAUGCAAGUCGAACGGCAGCACAGGAGAGCUUGCUCUCUGGGUGGCGAGUGGCGGACGGGUGAGGAAUACAUCGGAAUCUGCCCAGUCGUGGGGGAUAACGUAGGGAAACUUACGCUAAUACCGCAUACGACCUUCGGGUGAAAGAGGGGGAUCGCAAGACCUCUCGCGAUUGGAUGAGCCGAUGUCGGAUUAGCUAGUUGGCGGGGUAAUGGCCCACCAAGGCGACGAUCCGUAGCUGGUCUGAGAGGAUGAUCAGCCACACUGGAACUGAGACGCGGUCCAGACUCCUACGGGAGGCAGCAGUGGGGAAUAUUGGACAAUGGGCGCAAGCCUGAUCCAGCCAUACCGCGUGGGUGAAGAAGGCCUUCGGGUUGUAAAGCCCUUUUGUUGGGAAAGAAAUCUUUCAGGCUAAUACCCUGGGAGGAUGACGGUACCCAAAGAAUAAGCGCCGGCUAACUUCGUG
rnacentral:rRNA from 1 species